UACAGAGGGUGCGAGCGUUAAUCGGAAUUACUGGGCGUAAAGGGCGCGUAGGUGGUUAUUUAAGUAAGAGGUGAAAUCCCUGGGCUUAACCUGGGAACUGCUUAUUAGACUGAAUGACUGGAGUGCAGUAGAGGGUAGUGGAAUUUCCGGUGUAGCGGUGAAAUGCGUAGAUAUCGGAAGGAACACCCGUGGCGAAGGCGGCUACCUGGACUGAGACUGACACUGAGGCGCGAAAGCGUGGGUAGCAAACAGG
rnacentral:rRNA from 1 species